GCGGCUGUAGCGCAGUUCGGCAGCGCGCCACCUUGCCAUGGUGGAGGUCCCGGGUUCGAAUCCCGGUAGCCGCU
rnacentral:tRNA from 1 species